rnacentral:rRNA from 1 species
AUUGAACGCUGGCGGCAGGCCUAACACAUGCAAGUCGGACGAGUGGCGGACGUGUGAGUAAUGUCUUGAAAACUGCCCGAUGGAGGGGGAUAACGACGGGAAACGGUAGCUAAGACCGCAUACCAUCAGAUGUGACCAGAUGGGAUUGGCUAGUGGGUGGGUUAAUGGCUAACCUGGGCAACGAUCCCUAGCUGGUCUGAGAGGAUGACCAGCCACACUGGAACGUAGAAAGGGUCAAGACUCCUACGGAAGGAAGCAGUGGGGAAUAUUGGACAAUGGGCGAAAGCUUGAUGCAGCCAUGCCGGGUGUAUGAAGAAGGCCUUCGGGUGGUAAAGUACUUUCAGCGGGGAGGCGUUACCCGCAGAAGAAGCACCGGCUAACUCCGUGCCAGCAGCCGCGGUAAUAC